rnacentral:lncRNA from 1 species
AAAAUUCCACGAAAAAGCAAAAAAAAGUGGUGGAAGGAAAUAUGUAAGUUGGGGUUUGGAAAAAUAAAAUAAAAUUUUAGAGGUGAGAAGAUAACCUUAAGGUAAAGAGAGAGGGUGUGAACGUUUUGAGAAAGAUGGGAGGGAGAGUUGGUGCUUCAUUUUUUUAGAGUGUGUGUGUGUGGAAUGAUGUUGUAAAUGGUGAAAGAAGAAUGGAUUUUCUACCUCCAAGAGUCUAUGGUGCGGGAUGGCAAGGCAACAUGUAAAAUGGACGUAGAAAAUCCAUUUUCUUCCAAUGGAGGUAAUUUUGUUCUCCUUAUUGAAAUUUGUAAAAUGUUGAGAGAAAAACAUCAUGCCAACAUGUAGACAUAGAAAAUCCAUUUCUUCUUCCAAAUAACUUUGCCCUAAGAUGUUUCAUUUGUAAGUAUUUGAUGCCUUUUUAUUAGAAAAGCAUUGAGGGGAAUCAUUUAUAAUUCUUGAUAUCUAUCUUCUUUUUUUUUUUGUUCUCUUGAGCAUUAACA